CCGGCGGGUCGUCCUAUCGCUCAAGAAAUUGGGAGGAAAGUCCGGGCAGGGAAGAGCACUGCACUGUGGAAAGCACAGAUAGGCGAUGAGUUUAUGCAAGGGUAACAGAGAAUUACCGCCGCAGAAGCGUCAGGUCACGUGCCUGUUACAAGACUUUAUAGUCUUUGCGCGCAGCAGAAGACCUUAGGGUUGUUAGACUGCAUUACUGCGGUAAGGGUGAAAAUGUGGGGUAAGAGCCCACGGGUUAUGAUGGCGACAUUAUAGCGGUAUCCUACUGCAUCCUGCAAGGCCAUGUAUACCAGCAGUUAAGGGUUGCUCGUCCGUUGCUGGGGGGUAGGCUGCGACAGAUAAAUGAUAGGAGCUUCUUAGGGUGCCUCCGGGCACAAGUCUGAAGUACAGAACUCGGCUUAUAGAUCCGCCCACAAU
rnacentral:RNase_P_RNA from 1 species